AUGCCACAAACAGAGAAGCACAAGUUGUUUGCUGCACAUCAGGAAGGGGCAAGGAAGGAUGUGGAACGUGCUUUUGGUGUUUUGCAGGGUCGAUUCUCUAUCUUGCGUCGUCCUGCACGUUUGUAUGACCGGGGUGAUAUCCAGAAGGUCAUGAUAGCUUGCAUCAUUCUUCACAAUAUGGUAGUCGAGGAUGAAAAAGAAGCGGCGGCUAAUAUUCUUGAUUUGAACAAGGAGGCGGGUACAUCCAUUGUUCUACCAUCAGUAUUCACACACGGCGACAUACCGGUAUUCGCCCAGGUGCUACAAAGAGAUGCAAGAAUCCGAGAUCGUGGGACUCACAGAGCACUCAAAACUGAUUUGGUAGAGCAUAUUUGGAAAAAGUUUGGGCCAAAAUAG
rnacentral:rRNA from 1 species